rnacentral:tRNA from 1 species
AGGAUUAUAGUUUAAAAAAAACAUUUGAUUUGCAAUCAAAAAUUAUUGAUAUACAAUUUAUCUUA